GCAAAAAGUAACCAUCAUCUGCCUCACUGUUUAUUUUUCUUUGUGUUUCUAUGUCAAGAAAAGGAACUAGGUGUAGAAGUUUCCUCAGGGGAGGUUCAAAACGAUGGAAAGAAGCUAAUGUCGCCGAGAAACCCUGAAGGAAACCUCCUGCUGAUGCAUGCUUACCUGGAACCACUUUUAGACCCUAGAGGAGGAAGGGACCACAUAUCCUUUGGCUAAGCAGAGGAUGCACGAAGGAGAGGAUCAGUGAACAGAAGACAGAGGCCGACUGUGUUUCCAAUUACAUCUCAGGAGGAAGCCGGAGACUCUAGAACAGUGACUAAGAGAACCUUGAAAGGACUUCUACAAUUUUGUUGACCUGGCUCAAGUCAGAAGAGCUUCAUCCAGGAGAUGCUGGUAUGUUUCCUUGGAACGAAGACUGUCCCUGCCUUUCUAAAGGCUCUGAGGCACUCCUGGUUCUGACACUUGUUGGCCUACAAGUCUCCAGGCUGACUGGGUUCCAAUGUUGGGUCUCCUCGUUCUACAUCACCUUUCCUUGUGCAAUCCUGGGUGAGAUAAAAGCUCAGU